rnacentral:rRNA from 1 species
CCUACGGGUGGCUGCAGUGGGGAAUAUUGCACAAUGGGGGAAACCCUGAUGCAGCGACGCCGCGUGAGUGAAGAAGUAUUUCGGUAUGUAAAGCUCUAUCAGCAGGGAAGAAAAAAGACGGUACCUGACUAAGAAGCCCCGGCUAACUACGUGCCAGCAGCCGCGGUAAUACGUAGGGGGCAAGCGUUAGCCGGAUUUACUGGGUGUAAAGGGAGCGUAGACGGAGAAGCAAGUCUGAAGUGAAAGCCCGUGGCUUAACCACGGGACUGCUUUGGAAACUGUUUGACUGGAGUGCUGGAGAGGUAAGUGGAAUUCCUAGUGUAGCGGUGAAAUGCGUAGAUAUUAGGAGGAACACCAGUGGCGAAGGCGGCUUACUGGACAGUAACUGACGUUGAGGCUCGAAAGCGUGGGGAGCAAACAGGAUUAGAUACCCUUGUAGUC